UUUGGCUAUAGCUCUGACCGAUGAACAUCAUGUGGAGGCGUAGUUGACCUGCAGUAGUAUGGGGGAGAUCUCGAUGGGAGGAGGAAGAGGGUCACCCCGGUCGGCGAUGAAGCUCCGGCUGGUGCUCUCCCCGACGGACACCGAGCUGUGGCCGGCGAGGACCGCUCCUUGACGGGUGUCAGCUCCUUGAGGGCGAGCUGGUGGCGGCGGAUCU
rnacentral:lncRNA from 1 species